AGUGAACGCUGGCGGCAGGCCUAACACAUGCAAGUCGAACGGAUCCUUCGGGAUUAGUGGCGGACGGGUGAGUAACACGUGGGAACGUGCCCUUUGGUUCGGAACAACUCAGGGAAACUUGAGCUAAUACCGGAUGUGCCCUUCGGGGGCAAGAUUUAUCGCCAUUGGAGCGGCCCGCGUCUGAUUAGCUAGUUGGUGAGGUAAAGGCACACCAAGGCGACGAUCAGUAGCUGGUCUGAGAGGAUGAUCAGCCACAUUGGGACUGAGACACGGCCCAAACUCCUACGGGAGGCAGCAGUGGGGAAUCUUGCGCAAUGGGCGAAAGCCUGACGCAGCCAUGCCGCGUGAAUGAUGAAGGUCUUAGGAUUGUAAAAUUCUUUCACCGGGGACGAUAAUGACGGUACCCGGAGAAGAAGCCCCGGCUAACUUCGUGCCAGCAGCCGCGGUAAUAC
rnacentral:rRNA from 1 species